GACGAACCGAGCGAACGUUGUUCGGAAUCACUGGGCUUAAAGGGUGCGUAGGUGGGUUGGUAAGUCAGUGGUGAAAUCUCCAGGCUCAACUUGGAAACUGCCAUUGAUACUAUUAAUCUUGAAUACCGUGGAGGUCAGCGGAAUAUGUCAUGUAGCGGUGAAAUGCUUAGAUAUGACAUAGAAUACCAAUUGCGAAGGCAGCUGGCUACACGAAUAUUGACACUGAUGCACGAAAGCGUGGGGAUCAAACAGG
rnacentral:rRNA from 1 species